UUCGGAUUGCAGUCUGCAACUCGACUGCAUGAAGUUGGAAUCGCUAGUAAUCGCGAAUCAGCAGGUCGCGGUGAAUACGUUCCCGGCCCUUGUACACACCGCCCGUCACGCCAUGAAAAUUGGUAGCAUUCGAAGCGGGUGACCUAACCCUUCGGGGAAGGAACUCUCUAAAGUGAAACCGAUGAUCGGGGCGAAGUCGUAACAAGGUAGCCGUAGGGGAACCUGCGGCUGGAUCACCUCCUUU
rnacentral:rRNA from 1 species